rnacentral:snRNA from 9 species
AUACUUACCUAGCGCAGGGAUACCGUGAUCAUGCAGGCGGUUCCCCUAGGGUGAGGCUGCUCCAUUGCACUGCAGGCUGGUUGACCCUUGCGAUUAUUUUUAUUAUUGAUACUUUCACACUAACACUUUUUUAUUGCUAC